GACGAACGCUGGCGGCGUGCUUAACACAUGCAAGUCGAACGGACAGGCCCUGCUUUUGUGGGGUGCUCGAGUGGCGAACGGGUGAGUAACCCGUGAGUAACCUGCCCUUGUCUUUGGGAUAACUUCAGGAAACUGGGGCCUAUACCGGAUAGGAGCUCCUGCUGCAUGGUGGGGGUUGGAAAGUUUCGGCGGCUGGGGAUGGACUCGCGGCUUAUCAGCUUGUUGGUGGGGUAGUGGCUUACCAAGGCUUUGACGGGUAGCCGGCCUGAGAGGGUGACCGGCCACAGUGGGAAUGAGAUACGGCCGAGGCUGCUGCGGGAGGCAGCAGUGGGGAGUAUUGCAGAAUGAGCGGAAGCCUGAGGCAGCAACGCCGCGUGCGGGAGGAAGGCCUUCGGGUUGUAGACCGCUUUCGCCUGUGACGAAGCGUGGGUGACGGUAAUGGGUAAAGAAGCACCGGCUAACUACGUG
rnacentral:rRNA from 1 species